GCGACGGUGGUGUAACGGUUAGCAUCUGUGCUUCCCAAGCCUAGGACAGGGGUUUGACUCCCCUUCGUCGCA